rnacentral:sRNA from 1 species
AUCGCGGGCGUGCGCCUGGAGGACGAGGGCCGGUACCGCUGCGAGCUCAUCAACGGCAUCGAGGACGAGAGCGUGGCGCUGACCUUGAGCUUGGAGGGUGAGGCCCUUCCGCUCCCGCCCCAUUCCUCUGUAGCAGGCGGGGCCGCCUCGCCUGGGUCUCCCAGGGCUCCUUCCCAGUAUCUCCUCCGCACCCCUGGGGACCCCAGCUCCCUCUCCCAGGCCUCGCCUCCCUUCCUCCCCCUCCGCUCCCAUCCGCUGGCCCUCCCCAGGAUCCCCGCCACCCCCUAGGUGUGGUGUUUCCGUACCAACCCAGCCGGGGCCGGUACCAGUUCAAUUACUACGAGGCAAAGCAGGCGUGCGAGGAGCAGGACGGACGCCUGGCCACCUACUCCCAGCUCUACCAGGCUUGGACCGAGGGUCUGGACUGGUGUAACGCGGGCUGGCUGCUCGAGGGCUCCGUGCGCUACCCUGUGCUCACCGCGCGCGCCCCGUGCGGCGGCCGAGGCCGGCCCGGGAUCCGCAGCUACGGGCCCCGCGACCGGAUGCGUGACCGCUACGACGCCUUCUGCUUCACCUCCGCGCUGGCGGGCCAAGUGUUCUUCGUGCCCGGGCGGCUGACGCUAUCUGAAGCCCAUGCGGCGUGCCGGCGACGCGGCGCGGUGGUGGCCAAGGUUGGGCACCUCUACGCCGCCUGGAAGUUCUCGGGGCUAGACCAGUGCGACGGCGGCUGGCUGGCUGACGGCAGUGUGCGCUUCCCAAUCACCACGCCGCGGCCGCGCUGCGGGGGGCUCCCGGAUCCCGGAGUGCGCAGUUUCGGCUUCCCCAGGCCCCAGCAGGCAGCCUAUGGGACCUACUGCUACGCCGAGAAUUAGGCGCCCACUGUGUCCCCUCCAGCGCGCGCGAAGCUUGGGAGUCGUGGCGGGGUUCUGUCGCCACCCCUUUCCGGAGAGCCUCCCCUCCCUCCAGACCCGGAGCGGCCUCUCCAGACCUGCCUUCCCAGCCGGGGGCUGCGGGCCUCGG